GCUGAUUUAGUUUAAAAAAAACGUUGCAUUGUGGUUGCAAAGAUAAAAUUGAUUUAAUUGGUU
rnacentral:tRNA from 1 species